rnacentral:tRNA from 1 species
GGAAGGGUAGCGAAGAGGCUAAACGCGGCGGACUGUAAAUCCGCUCCUUCGGGUUCGGGGGU